CGAGUGGGUCAGACGGUCGCAUGCAUCGCAUGAGGAAAGUCCGGGCUCCCAAGGGCAAGGUGCCAGCUAACAGCUGGGCGGGGCGACCCGACGGAAAGUGCCACAGAAAAGAAAACUCCCGCCGUUUUGCGGCGAGACAAGCUGAAACGGUGCGGUAAAAGCGCACCAGCGCGUCGGUAACGGCGCGGCUUGGCAAACCCCACCUGGAGCAAACGCAAAUAGGAACGCGAUACGGCCGCCCUUCCGUGCGUUCGGGUUGCGCGCUCGAUACGUGCGGUGACGCACGUCCUAGAUAAAUGGCCGUCCAACGACAGAACCCGGCUUACCGACCCACUCGAUCC
rfam:Coriobacteriaceae bacterium 68-1-3, complete genome.